GGGAUAUGGCGAAAUUGGUAGACGC
rnacentral:tRNA from 1 species